AUGAUGGUAUCACAUUGAAACUACUGGUUCCCAUACAAUCACUGAAAGUUAAGCAAUGUUGAGCCUGGUCGGUACCUAGAUGGGUGACUGCAUACGAAAACCAGGUGCUGCAAG